GCCGAGGUGGUGAAAUUGGUAGACGCGCUGGAUUCAAAAUCCAGUAGGGGCAACCCUGUGGGGGUUCAAUUCCCCCCCUCGGCA
rnacentral:tRNA from 1 species